rnacentral:rRNA from 1 species
GCACGAGGGGAUGAGGGAGCUUGCUCCUGGAUUCAGCGGCGGACGGGUGAGUAAUGCCUAGGAAUCUGCCUGGUAGUGGGGGAUAACGUCCGGAAACGGGCGCUAAUACCGCAUACGUCCUGAGGGAGAAAGUGGGGGAUCUUCGGACCUCACGCUAUCAGAUGAGCCUAGGUCGGAUUAGCUAGUUGGUGGGGUAAAGGCCUACCAAGGCGACGAUCCGUAACUGGUCUGAGAGGAUGAUCAGUCACACUGGAACUGAGACACGGUCCAGACUCCUACGGGAGGA